UUAAAUUGAAGAGUUUGAUCAUGGCUCAGAUUGAACGCUGGCGGCAGGCUUAACACAUGCAAGUCGAACGGUAGCAGGAAGAAGCUUGCUUCUUUGCUGACGAGUGGCGGACGGGUGAGUAAUGCUUGGGAAUCUGGCUUAUGGAGGGGGAUAACUACGGGAAACUGUAGCUAAUACCGCGUAGUAUCGAGAGAUGAAAGACUGGGACCGCAAGGCCAGUUGCCAUAAGAUGAGCCCAAGUGGGAUUAGGUAGUUGGUGGGGUAAAGGCCUACCAAGCCGACGAUCUCUAGCUGGUCUGAGAG
rnacentral:rRNA from 1 species